AGGGCGCACGGUGGAUGCCUUGGCACUAGGAGCCGAUGAAGGACGGGACUAACACCGAUAUGCUUUGGGGAGCUGUACGUAAGCUAUGAUCCAGAGAUUUCCGAAUGGGGGAACCCAACAUCUUUAAUAGGAUGUUACGAUUGUGUGAAUACAUAGCACAUUCGAGGUAGACGCAGAGAACUGAAACAUCUAAGUACCUGCAGGAAGAGAAAGAAAAUUCGAUUCCCUGAGUAGCGGCGAGCGAAACGGGAAAAGCCCAAACCAGCAAGCUUGCUUGUUGGGGUUGUAGGACUCCAAUAUGGUAGUUCUUUCAGAUAGUCGAAUGACUUGGAAAAGUCAGUCAAAGAGGGUAAAAACCCCGUAGACGAAAUGUGGAAGACACCUAGGAGGAUCCUGAGUACGGCGGAACACGAGAAAUUCCGUCGGAAUCCGGGAGGACCAUCUCCCAAGGCUAAAUACUCCCUAGUGACCGAUAGUGAACCAGUACCGUGAGGGAAAGGUGAAAAGCACCCCGGAAGGGGAGUGAAAUAGAACCUGAAACCGUGUGCCUACAACAAGUCAAAGCCCGUUAAUGGGUGAUGGCGUGCCUUUUGUAGAAUGAACCGGCGAGUUACGAUUGCAUGCGAGGUUAAGUUGAAGAGACGGAGCCGCAGCGAAAGCGAGUCUGAAUAGGGCGUUUGAGUAUGUAGUCGUAGACCCGAAACCAUGUGAUCUACCCAUGUCCAGGUUGAAGGUGCGGUAAAACGCACUGGAGGACCGAACCAGGGCACGUUGAAAAGUGCUUGGAUGACUUGUGGGUAGCGGAGAAAUUCCAAACGAACUUGGAGAUAGCUGGUUCUCUCCGAAAUAGCUUUAGGGCUAGCCUCGGAAUUGAGAAUGAUGGAGGUAGAGCACUGUUUGGACUAGGGGCCCAUCUCGGGUUACCGAAUUCAGAUAAACUCCGAAUGCCAUUCAUUCAUAUCCGGGAGUCAGACUGUGAGUGAUAAGAUCCAUAGUCGAAAGGGAAACAGCCCAGACCACCAGCUAAGGUCCCAAAAUAUAUGUUAAGUGGAAAAGGAUGUGGGGUUGCACAGACAACUAGGAUGUUAGCUUAGAAGCAGCUAUUCAUUCAAAGAGUGCGUAAUAGCUCACUAGUCGAGUGACCCUGCGCCGAAAAUGUACCGGGGCUAAAACAUAUUACCGAAGCUGUGGAUACCUAUUAUAGGUAUGGUAGGAGAGCGUUCUAUGUGUGAAGAAGGUGUACCGUGAGGAGCGCUGGAACGCAUAGAAGUGAGAAUGCCGGUAUGAGUAGCGAAAGACAGGUGAGAAUCCUGUCCACCGAAUGACUAAGGUUUCCUGGGGAAGGCUCGUCCGCCCAGGGUUAGUCGGGACCUAAGCCGAGGCCGACAGGCGUAGGCGAUGGAUAACAGGUUGAUAUUCCUGUACCCGUUGUUUUUGUUUGAGCAAUGGAGGGACGCAGGAGGCUAAGGAAUGCAGACGAUCGGAAAUGUCUGUCCAAGCAGUAAGUCUGAAGAGGAGUCAAAUGCUUCUUUUCUUAAGGACAAGCUGUGAUGGGGAGGGAAAUAAUAGUACCGAAGUUCCUGAUGUCACACUGCCGAGAAAAGCUUCUAGUGAGAAAACAGCGGCCCGUACCGCAAACCGACACAGGUAGUCGAGGAGAGAAUCCUAAGGUGAGCGAGAGAACUCUCGUUAAGGAACUCGGCAAAAUGACCCCGUAACUUCGGGAGAAGGGGUGCUGAUCAUACGAUCAGCCGCAGUGAAUAGGCCCAAGCGACUGUUUAUCAAAAACACAGGUCUCUGCAAAAUCGUAAGAUGAAGUAUAGGGGCUGACGCCUGCCCGGUGCUGGAAGGUUAAGAGGAGUGCUUAGCGCAAGCGAAGGUACGAAUUGAAGCCCCAGUAAACGGCGGCCGUAACUAUAACGGUCCUAAGGUAGCGAAAUUCCUUGUCGGGUAAGUUCCGACCCGCACGAAAGGCGUAAUGAUUUGGGCACUGUCUCAACGAGAGACUCGGUGAAAUUUUAGUACCUGUGAAGAUGCAGGUUACCCGCGACAGGACGGAAAGACCCCAUGGAGCUUUACUGUAGUUUGAUAUUGAGUGUCUGUACCGCAUGUACAGGAUAGGUAGGAGCCGUAGAAAUCGGAACGCUAGUUUCGAUGGAGGCGCUGGUGGGAUACUACCCCUGCGUUAUGGCCACUCUAACCCGCACCACUAAUCGUGGUGGGAGACAGUGUCAGAUGGGCAGUUUGACUGGGGCGGUCGCCUCCUAAAAGGUAACGGAGGCGCCCAAAGGUUCCCUCAGAAUGGUUGGAAAUCAUUCGCAGAGUGUAAAGGUAUAAGGG
rnacentral:rRNA from 1 species